UUAUAUGGUCAAGCAAUUAAGCGUACGUGGUGGAUGCCUUGGCAGCUAGAGGCGAUGAAGGACGUUGUAGACUGCGAUAAGCUUCGGGGAGCCGUCAAACAGGCUUUGAUCCGGAGAUUUCCGAAUGGGGAAACCCACCUGACUUGUCAGGUAUCGUUAACUGAAUCCAUAGGUUAACGAGGCGAACGCGGAGAACUGAAACAUCUAAGUACCCGCAGGAAAAGAAAUCAACCGAGAUUCCCUGAGUAGCGGCGAGCGAAAGGGGACCAGCCCUUAAGUUACAGAAGAUUUAGCGGAACGCUCUGGAAAGUGCGGCGAGAGAGGGUGAUAGCCCCGUACGCGAAAGGUCUUUUGUGAUGAAAUCGAGUAGGUCGGGACACGUGAAAUCCUGACUGAAGACGGGGGGACCAUCCUCCAAGGCUAAAUACUCCUAGCUGACCGAUAGUGAACCAGUACCGUGAGGGAAAGGCGAAAAGAACCCCGGCGAGGGGAGUGAAAUAGAACCUGAAACCGCGUACGUACAAGCAGUAGGAGCCCCAUCACUAAGUGUCUUAGGCACUUAGUCGAUGCGGCUGAGAGUCCGUUGGCUGUUAACAGCGCGAAGCGCUGGUCAACCGCCAAAUGAGGUAGGGCCCUUAGUGAUGGGGUGACUGCGUACCUUUUGUAUAAUGGGUCAGCGAGUUAUUGUCAGUAGCAAGGUUAACCGUUUAGGGGAGCCGUAGGGAAACCGAGUCUUAAUAGGGCGUCUUAGUUGCUGGUAAUAGACCCGAAACCGGGCGAUCUAUCCAUGACCAGGUUGAAGGUGCCGUAACAGGCACUGGAGGACCGAACCGGGAUCUGUUGAAAAAGAUUCGGAUGAGUUGUGGAUCGGAGUGAAAGGCUAAUCAAGCUCGGAGAUAGCUGGUUCUCCUCGAAAACUAUUUAGGUAGUGCCUCGUGUUUGACUACUGGGGGUAAAGCACUGUGUCGGCUAGGGGGUCAUCCCGACUUACCAAACCGAUGCAAACUCUGAAUACCAGUAAGUUUUAUCACGGGAGACAGACGGCGGGUGCUAACGUCCGUCGUCGAGAGGGCAACAACCCAGACCGCCAGCUAAGGUCCCAAAUAUCAGUUAAGUGGGAAACGAUGUGGGAAGGCUUAGACAGCUAGGAGGUUGGCUUAGAAGCAGCCACCCUUUAAAGAAAGCGUAAUAGCUCACUAGUCGAGUCGGCCUGCGCGGAAGAUUUACCGGGGCUAAACUGAUAACCGAAGCUGCGGAUGCAGCACUUCUCUUAACUACAUUGAGACAUUGAGCGCAUACCGAGACCUGGCGUCAGCCAGCCGAGGUACAAGCGCCCCCGAACGUUGAGUCGGGCGUGACGUGGGCAGUCUGCUCACCGAGGAGUGUAGUUAAGUGAAGUGCUGCAUGGUAGAGGAGCGUUCUGUAAGCCGUUGAAGCUGAAUCGUAAGGUUUGGUGGAGGUAUCAGAAGUGCGAAUGCUGACAUGAGUAACGACAAGGGGGGUGAAAAACCUCCCCGCCGGAAGAUCAAGGUUUCCUGCCCAACGUUAAUCGGGGCAGGGUGAGUCGGCCCCUAAGGCGAGGGAGAAAUCCGUAGUCGAUGGGAAAUCGGUUAAAAUUCCGAUACCGGUACUUACUGCGAUGGAGUGACGGAGAAGGCUAGGCUGGCACGGCGUUGGUUGUCCGUGUUCAAGCGCGUAGGGAGUGGACUUAGGUAAAUCCGGGACCACAAUUCUGAGACGUGAUGACGAUCCCCUGGGGCGACCCUCGGGAGAAGUAGUUGAUGCCCUGCUUCCAGGAAAAACUUCUAAGCUUCAGGUAAGUACUGACCGUACUGUAAACCGACACAGGUGAUCAGGUAGAGAAUACCAAGGCGCUUGAGAGAACUUGGGUGAAGGAACUAGGCAAAAUGGUACCGUAACUUCGGGAGAAGGUACGCUCCCUUUGGUGAACUAUUUACUAGGUAAGCUGAGGGGAGUCGCAGUGACCAGGUGGCUGCAACUGUUUACUAAAAACAUAGCACUCUGCAAACACGUAAGUGGACGUAUAGGGUGUGACGCCUGCCCGGUGCCGGAAGGUUAAUUGAUGGGGUUAGCUUAGGCGAAGCUCUUGAUCGAAGCCCCGGUAAACGGCGGCCGUAACUAUAACGGUCCUAAGGUAGCGAAAUUCCUUGUCGGGUAAGUUCCGACCUGCACGAAUGGCGUAAUGAUGGCCACGCUGUCUCCACCCAAGACUCAGUGAAAUUGAAAUCGCUGUUAAGAUGCAGUGUACCCGCGGCUAGACGGAAAGACCCCAUGAACCUUUACUAUAGCUUCACACUGGACUUUGACCUUAUUUGUGUAGGAUAGGUGGGAGACUUUGAAGCGUUGGCGCCAGCCAGCGUGGAGUCGUCCUUGAAAUACCACCCUGGUAAUGUUGAGGUUCUAACUCUGGUCCUGAAACGGGAUCGAGGACAGUGUGUGGUGGGUAGUUUGACUGGGGCGGUCUCCUCCCAAAGAGUAACGGAGGAGCACGAAGGUACCCUAAGGGCGGUCGGAAAUCGCCCACUUAGUGUAAUGGCAUAAGGGUGCUUGACUGCGAGACUGACAAGUCGAGCAGGUGCGAAAGCAGGUCAUAGUGAUCCGGUGGUUCUGAAUGGAAGGGCCAUCGCUCAACGGAUAAAAGGUACUCUGGGGAUAACAGGCUGAUACCGCCCAAGAGUUCACAUCGACGGCGGUGUUUGGCACCUCGAUGUCGGCUCAUCACAUCCUGGGGCUGAAGCCGGUCCCAAGGGUAUGGCUGUUCGCCAUUUAAAGUGGUACGCGAGCUGGGUUUAGAACGUCGUGAGACAGUUCGGUCCCUAUCUGCCGUGGGCGUUGGAGAUUUGAGAAGAGUUGCUCCUAGUACGAGAGGACCGGAGUGAACGAACCUCUGGUGUUCGGGUUGUGUCGCCAGACGCAUUGCCCGGUAGCUAUGUUCGGACGGGAUAACCGCUGAAAGCAUCUAAGCGGGAAGCCCCCUUCGAGACUAGAUCUCCCUUGGACGUAAGUCCACUGAAGUGCCGUUGAAGACGACGACGUUGAUAGGCUGGGUGUGUAAGCGUUGUGAGGCGUUGAGCUAACCAGUACUAAUUGCACGUGAGGCUUGACCAUAUAAUCGCAGGUUUU
rnacentral:rRNA from 1 species